rnacentral:lncRNA from 1 species
GGGAGCACUGUUUGUACCAUACUUGACCAAUCUCGAAACUACUGAGCACCGAUCAACGUUAUACCGUCAAGAACCCAGAAGAGUUUCCCUCCAACCAGGAGGCCAAUUACAGCGCGACACGUGUCCACAUCAGAAGCCAAUCAUAGCGCGACACUUGUCAACAUCAGAAGCCAAUCACAACACGACACGUGUCAAUGUCAGAAUGAAACUAGAAACUCUCUUCUAUAAAUAGAGAUCAUUCUCUCACAAUAUUUCCUAAUGUCAUUUGUACUAAAUCAUUCACUUGUACUCACUAAAGGAGAACUUGAACCUAUGUACUUGUGUAAACCCUUCACAAUUAAUGAAAACUCCUCUACUCCGUGGACGUAGCCAAUCUGGGUGAACCACGUACAUCUUGUGUUUGCUUCCCUGUCUCUAUCCAUUUACAUACUUAUCCAUACAAAUGACCGGAGCAAUCUAGCGAAGGUCACAAACUUAACACUUUCUGUUGUACCAAAGUCCUCAUUGAUUUUGUGCAUCAACAGGAUAAAACUUGAACUUUGGGUUAAGAAGAGGUUAGCCCAAAAGGAGGUUCAGAAGAAGGAAAAGUCCAAGGCCCAGCCGAAGUCCAGAAGCAAGAAGGGGCUUGUUUCCCGACCAGGUACAACUCAUUUAAACUAUCUGCUCACCUACCUAUGGGUCAAGUGGUGUAGACCAGCCAACUAAUCAGCCCAAAAGUACUUUACAAUGGCAGUACAAUUAAAAAGUUGAUUAGUCAUUGCCCUUCAGAUGCAUUCGGGCAAAAUCAACACUGCAGACAGCCAAGCCAAAUCGUUUAUAAAAGGAAGAAGAAAAAUCAGAGAUAAGGACACUCAAUCAACCAAACAAAUACAAGCACAAACUCUAUUCAAACCAGAUUUGCCUUCACGAAACUGUAGCCCCAGUCUUUAUCCCUUUCGGGAUAAACCUUCACCAGAAAUCCUUUGUAAAAACUCUGCUACCUUGUUUAAAUCUUGAUGUAGUAUCGAUCACCUCAUAUAGAUUCAUCUUCCAAUCUCCCUUUCUAGCAUUCGAACAUUCUGUAAAUCACAAAGAGAGGAAGUUGCAAGAUAAUCAAUCUUGCCAGACAAGGUGAAACCUUGCCCGACCUCCUUUGUUGUUGUCUUUCAUUCGUAGAUCUAGUAUUAUGAUGUAUGUUUUCAUCUGCAUCCAAGUUAUUGCUAGCCUGUUUAUGAUUAAAAUACUUCUAAGUUCUAAUCAUUCGGGCAGACAAGAUUGACCAAUUAAAAGUCCUUGGUCUCAAGGCAUAAAAAGAACUUUAUGUGGACUUAACCCAUCCACGACAAUCUUUGAUCAUCAGAAAUCCGAAGUUACUUGGGGCACAAGUAAUUGGCUGAUUCUCUAGUUUUACUUCUGUUAUAUCAUAAUUCCCACAGAACGCUUAAGUAUAGAAUUAACUCUGAUAGAAAGCCUCAAGGCCUAUACCUAAGGCCCGACAAAGGCACCUAUUUGACUUCAUUCUGCUCUGCGGGCUCGGGUAAUUAACGUAUAACGAGAGUGAUAUGUACGCAAUAAUGAAACAACCAAGAUGUGUUCAAGUAUUCG